GUUUUUUUAAAUUUAGAAUAAACCACCAAUUGUAAGAUUGAUCUUACCAUUUACAAUAAGAUUAAAAAUAAAAUAUAAAGCAAACUUUAUUUAACAAAUUAUCAUAAUGAAAUAUUUAAUAACAAGAACUUUACAUAGUUGACACUUUAUCAUCAUAAUCAAUAAUAACAAUUUCUAUGAUUAAUAGGCAUACCACAUAAAUAGCCAUGAGCAGAGAAUUAAUAUACCAGUAAGUAAUAACAAUAAGUCUGUAUUAAUCUAGACAAGAUUGGUGCAAUACUACCAAUUUUUAUUAUAUAUUAUUCCAAUGAUUGGAAAAAUCAGUAGUUUCUAUAUUUUUAAGUAAUAAUUUUAUUUUUUAUUUCAGUCAUUAUAUUUUUGCGAUAGUUGUUCAAAUAAAAGUUGGGGAAGCCAGAAAUAAAAUAUAAAUGACUUAAUUAUGGUUUUCUUUUCUCUCAAGGCAUUUUUUACAAUAUCAAAUGUUCACAAUAGAAUAUAUGCUAGUUUUUAAAUACAAACCUACUUGUUUUAGGGAUAUAGCUAAUAAUUAUUUUCAAUCUUAAAAAACUGGAGGUCUGAGACCUGGAAUUGAAUCCAGAUCCUUCAAAAUAAUAAGCAAAUGCUUUAUCACAGCCAUCUGGCCAAAUUUUUUUUAGACUAUUCAUUAAGAGCAUGAUUAGCACAUAUUGAAUGAUAGUAUAAAUAUUUUUAAACUUUUAUAUGCACUAGAAAAUGAAAAACGGCUGUGAUUUGCUUCACAACAGUGGUAUGAAACAUAACAGCUAUAAUUAUGAAGUAUACCUGUAUCUGAGAUUCUUUGAUUUUCAUAUGCUGCAUUGUUUGUUGAACUCAAAUGGCCUUCAUGUUAUAUUUUCUCAAAAAUUUAUGAUACUUUUAACUAUAUUGCAGCUUUCACUCAAAAUAAUGCCAUUUGUCGAGAAAAAGGAUAGAAUGAUCAAGCUGCC
rnacentral:lncRNA from 1 species